GUAGAAAGCAGCGCCUCCUGCUUGGAUGGAUGGCUUUGACUGGACUUUCUCGUGGGGGCGGGAGGGGGGAGGAAGGGAUGGAUGGGAGUGGUUAGGAACAGUAAAGUUGUGUGUGUGUGUGUGUGUGUGUGUGCGCGCGCGCGCGCGUGUGUGUGUGUGUGUGUGUGGUGUGUGUGUGUGUGUGAUAGAGAGAGAGAGAGAGAGAGAGAGAGAGAGAGAGAGAGAGAGACAGACAGACAGACAGAGACAGAGAGAGACAGACAGACAGACACGGGGGGGAGGGGGAGGGCUCUUUUUGGCUCCCUUUGCAUCUUGGUUUCUUCUAAGCUUCUGAGUAUCUCAAACUAGCCGAGAUCACUGGCCAUCUAGACUCCUUGCAGAGUCUGAGGAAAUUUGGCCUCGUUUUUCUGGGGCUGGGGAAUGAGCUCCGGAGGUCAAUAAAGCCCUCCAAAAAUGAUGAAUGAUUGAGCACCUGUGAUGAUAAUAGUGAUUACCAGAGCAAUUAAACAGUUUGAUUAAAUGAGCCAUCAUAACAAUGAUGUCUGCGGGAAAUCGGCCCUCACAUAUAAAGACAGUGUGGAGGGGCUGGCAGAGGCGCUGAGAGCGCGCCGGGAGAAGGGAUGCGGCCCGCGCGGAUUUGGCUCCAUGAGCCAAAGCAGGGGCGGCGGGCUCAGGGAGUUUCUGGGGGCAGUCUAGCCUAGGGUUUCGGUCUCUCUUUCUGCCUGGCUUCAAGCCUAAGACAACCAACUCGUCUGGAACCCGAGGGGCCAUAGGGUCCUUUCCUCCUCCUCUCCUCUUCCCCUCCUUUUUUUCCUCCCUAGAAGAACUCCAAGAUUACAAAUACCCACUUCAUUUGAUGCUGAGUUACUCGUCGACACAUAAGAAAAGGGAGAGAGGAGCUCGAAGUGGUUUCUAACACUCAUUUUCUAAGCCACAAAUACUCUCUUGAGACUCAUCUUCCCUCCUGUGUAAGAGGUUAAACAUGAGAGCUGGAGAGAUGACUCAGUGGGGGAAGCACUUGAUUUGAAAGCACCAAGACCUGAGUUCAGACUCCCAGAACCCAGAUAAAGCUUGACACACUAUCACAUCUAUAAUCCCAGUGUUCCUAUGGCAAGAAGACAGGUGGGAAUGGGGCAAUUCCCAGCAACUCUUUGGCCAACUAGCCUCCUGUGACAGUGCUAGAGACCCUUUCUCAAAAAAGCUGCAAGGUUUUGCAAGAAGAAGCUGCUUGUUCUUUAGGCAGGUGGCUCCCUGUGCUGCAGUUGAGGAGCUUCAAUCAUCACUGACAAGCCCACAAUCCACAAAGUCCUGGGUGUCUCCUCCAGCUAUCGCUGUCUGAAGCUUUUCAAAGGUUUUUGUAGUCCUCUUAGGUCGCUUUUCAUGCAUUCCACAAUGUAAAUGGAAAAGUUCAUCCACACUGACAUGAAGAGCUCCAUUUUGCUGGAACUUUUUGCUUUUUCACCAGAAAUAAUCCUUUCUUUCUUUUGUGUAAGGCUCAGGCUCAUCUACAAAUUCUUGGACUCUUUCUUAGAGAUGCAUAGCCCAGCAAAAUUGAAGCCUCUCCCCCUGAAAUAGACAUCAACCAACAAGUGUGUGCUGCUUUUAAAACCAAGGACAGGUUGUUGGAAAGAAUGAACUUUCUAAGUGGCAAUGUAGAAACAGUAAGCUGGGACCAAGAAGAGUCACUCAUCAACCACUCCUGUUGUUUUUAGGUAGACUUACUAUGCUUUAAAAAUUGUAUUAUUUCAAUAAAACAAUCUACAAAUAAAUACAAAACAAAAGGGCACGUGUAGGGACACAUUGAAAGGAAGCAUGCAUACCAAAAAGCUAAGUGCAAAUUGGAUUUGAAUAUUCAUGAGUCACAAAUCAUUGACAGUUUGAAACAAUGCAAAACAGCUUUAUAAAUGAGGUUAAGGCAAGGGACACCAAAGGAAUGCAUCAUUAAAUCAAUAGAAGUUUGUGUAUGUACUUGUAAAUUGUGGUUACAGUGUUUGUGACAUGGGAGAAAAAAUACUGUGGAUCUGAUGAAGAGGGUUGACACAUAAAUAUUCCCUCUGCAUGUUAUAUUUUUGCAGUUCAUCAUGUGCUUGGAACUGAGCCAGGUAGAGAGUGGUUGGACAUUGUACUUCCUGCUCAAGAAAGAGUUUCCUUGUGCAGACAGUGAGUUUCAGACCUCUGCCUGGACAGUCUUUAUUUGCCCUGCUAAAAAGUAUUAAACAUACAACCAUUCACACAGUUGAUUCCUAAAGCAGAGGUUAGCACGUAGCAUACAUAACUUUGGAGAAUGACAGCCUUAAAUCAGUUCGUGGGAGCUCCCACCAGAGAGCACGGGAUCUUAGAGAAUGCUCUAAUGCUUAGAAGGGCACAGAGGGGAAAAAUAGCUUUGUGAAGAGUUUGUAAGAAUCUCUUGAUAACAAAGCAAGAACAUUCGCUAACAAUGAGAAAUCAUACAGUGAAAUAAUUGAAGUUGCAAAAUGUUGGCAACCCAGCAGUUCUAUUGGAAGUGUUUUUGUUUUGUUCAGCAGUGACUCUUCACUUGUAGGACCCCGACUGUGGCUGUAGGGAACACGUAGCCUGUGGUUGGAGUCAUAUUUGAGACAGUAGGACUUACAAACCUAAGCCAUCUUAGGGCUUGUGUUAACAUAGGGACACUUCUAAGUUAAGCAGCUUCUCUUAGAAGCUUACUUUGGGUGAUCUGUAAGUUAUGAAGCAUUUCUCUAAGAUGCUGCUCAGCAAAUCUCUUUCUCAUAUCCCAUCUCCGGUUCUUGGAUGAUGGCUGAAGUGGGUGCCACAGCAUGAAAAUCAGGGUGCACAUGGUACCAAUUUGGAAGAAGCUGAAGAAUGUGGUCGGUUUAGAAAAUUCUUCUAUAUCUUUUUGCUGGGCCAUCCUUUAAGGCAGACAUUCAAAUUCAGGAUCUACAAUUCAGCUGAGACAUGACUCAUGAGAAAGAGAUGUCAGCAUUUCUCCAGUUCACUGCCAUGUAGACAAAGAAGCUAACGUGACCCAUGUGUUAACCAUAAUCAAGGACAGCCAUAAGAAAACAAUACAAACAAUAACUUAAUUUUUAAUGAAUGAUUUUUUUUUUUUGUGACCGGGCAAGGUUUCAUAUAUACCUACACUGGACUCAAAUGAAUUUUCUUGUGGCUAAGGAGGUGAUUCAGUGGGUAACAGUGCUUGUAUGUAACCAUGAG
ensembl:lncRNA